rnacentral:tRNA from 1 species
GGGCGCAUAGCUCAGGGGUAGAGCACUCGCCUUACAAGCGAGGGGUCACUGGUUCGAACCCAGUUGCGCCCACCA